UCAUUUCUCACGGAGUGAUCUCGGGUCUCGAAUCACGACGAUCUUGCUCACCCUACCUAUGUAUAUCCCCGGCUUGAGAAAGCUCUUUUUUCGUUUCACGGUAUAUUUCACAUCAUAUACAUCUCUCCGUUUCUGGCGAUGUCGAAGGGUCUGCUAAAUGUGUGCUUGAUUUUUUCGUCUUAACUCGAAGCAUCGAUGUGUUUAACGGACAAAAAACCUGUCUCGCAUAAUUGCAAUAUCGGUCACAGAUCUCGCGCAAGUCGUUCUGUCUCGAGACCUGCCUCGCUUUGGACAAAAGACAAACAGAGAGGGACAGAGACCUGUUCAGACAGAACCCUCCGUUUUUCACGUCAACGCUACGCUACGCCGAGAUCGAAACGAGAACGGGACGAAGACAGAAACAGCGAGAGAUAAAGGAAGAGAGAAUGAGAACGACACGGAGGCGAAGACGAGUCCUGGCGCCUGCAGGAGGUCCGGUAGACCCUACGUAUUUUGUUAAAAUAACACAAUGACCAAACGCCGGCUUCUGGAUUAUGUUCAAUUUAAAAAAAAAACUUAUUUUAAAACCGUCGAAGUCAUUGACUGCACUGCAUCAUAUAAAAUGGUCUCGCAUUUUGCCUCUGGGAUGAGAAAACGUGACCCAAAAGUUGAGUUUUUUUACAUAUAAAAUAUGAAAAAUCGAGAAAAUUUUAUAACCCGGGUGACAGCUCAACAUUUUGAGAACAGACAGCAAUUGCUUCAUGUAUUUUCAUAGGAAUUUGCCCGGAUUUGUAUGAAAAAAAUGACAUUUCGUAUUCGGCGUUGCCCCCGGAAUUUUUUUCGCCGAAAAUGUAAGAAAAAGCAUAACAAUUUUGGUAGAAGCGAGAAAAGAGGGAGUCUCGUAUUACGGAAGAAAACUGUAGUCUGUCAUUGAUAGAUUUCGACAAAGAAUCCCAUAUACGGGGUUGGUGAGCUCGGUAAAUCGAAGUUGUAAAAAAAAUAUUUGGAAUCGAAGUAUGAGGAUCUCGUAGAGAAGGAAGCAACAAAAGGAUAGCUUGAGAUCGAUCGUUUUGUUUUUUUCCCGUUCCAAGGGAGUCGGAGGAGACUUUCAGGUGCCCGUAGAAAGAUUUCUGGUGUGUUUACAGGCUUGAGAAUAUCGACGUAAUAGAAGCUAACGAUCUCGGUAUUGUUUUCCUUUCUAUUCUAUUUUUGAACAUCCGUUUUUUUUAGAGCUGAAAAUAAAUGAAUGUCUUCGAGGCUGGUUAUGGUUUCGAUUGGUUUUUCAUUUUUCUUUUUUUUUUUUUUCUUUAUUAUUGACAUGGGGUAUGGGGUGGGAUGUUACAUGGACGUAUGAUGGAAUGCACGUUAUAAAGAUCGAUAGUAAACUAACAAACUUAAAAAUUAAAUACAUAUAUAUAUAUUUAUAUAUAUAUCGACCAAAUUUUUCUUUUCUUCAUAUAUCGAAAAUAAUAAAAAAUUGUAUGACGGUGUAAUUCUCCUUUCUUGUCAACCUUCGCAUCUACAUUUAAAAAACGCUCUCCUAUUUUAACGGUAAAUCGUCAAAAAUACGACGAUGUUGUGUAACUUUCGUAGAAAAAAAAAACCAUAGCCUAAAAAACGCUGUCGCCGUUCACCA